rnacentral:rRNA from 1 species
GAUGUACGCUGGCGGCGUGCCUAAUACAUGCCAGUCGAGCGAACAGACGAGGAGCUUGCUCCUCUGACGUUAGCGGCGGACGGGUGAGUAACACGUGGAUAACCUACCUAUAAGACUGGGAUAACUUCGGGAAACCGGAGCUAAUACCGGAUAAUAUAUUGAACCGCAUGGUUCAAUAGUGAAAGACGGUUUUGCUGUCUCUUAUAGAUGGAUCCGCGCCGCAUUAGCUAGUUGGUAAGGUAACGGCUUACCAAGGCAACGAUGCGUAGCCGACCUGAGAGGGUGAUCGGCCACACUGGAACUGAGACACGGUCCAGACUCCUACGGGAGGCAGCAGUAGGGAAUCUUCCGCAAUGGGCGAAAGCCUGACGGAGCAACGCCGCGUGAGUGAUGAAGGUCUUCGGAUCGUAAAACUCUGUUAUUAGGGAAGAACAAAUGUGUAAGUAACUAUGCACGUCUUGACGGUACCUAAUCAGAAAGCCACGGCUAACUACGUG